GACGAACGCUGGCGGCGUGCUUAACACAUGCAAGUCGAACGGAAAGGCCCUGCUUUUGUGGGGUGCUCGAGUGGCGAACGGGUGAGUAACACGUGAGUAACCUGCCCUUGACUUUGAGAUAACUUCAGGAAACUGGGGCUAAUACCGGAUAGGAGCUCCUGCUGCAUGGUGGGGGUUGGAAAGUUUCGGCGGUUGGGGAUGGACUCGCGGCUUAUCAGCUUGUUGGUGAGGUAGUGGCUUACCAAGGCUUUGACGGGUAGCCGGCCUGAGAGGGUGACCGGCCACAUUGGGACUGAGAUACGGCCCAGACUCCUACGGGAGGCAGCAGCGGGGAAUAUUGCACAAUGGGCGGAAGCCUGAUGCAGCAACGCCGCGUGCGGGAUGACGGCCUUCGGGUUGUAAACCGCUUUCGCCUGUGACGAAGCGUGAGUGACGGUAAUGGGUAAAGAAGCACCGGCUAACUACGUG
rnacentral:rRNA from 1 species